UGAGGAAUAUUGGUCAAUGGGCGCGAGCCUGAACCAGCCAAGCCGCGUGAAGGAAGAAGGAUCUAUGGUUCGUAAACUUCUUUUGCAGGGGAAUAAAGUGCGGGACGUGUCCUGUUUUGUAUGUACCCUGAGAAUAAGGAUCGGCUAACUCCGUGCCAGCAGCCGCGGUAAUACGGAGGAUCCGAGCGUUAUCCGGAUUUAUUGGGUUUAAAGGGUGCGUAGGUGGUUUGAUAAGUCAGCGGUGAAAGUUUGCAGCUUAACUGUAAAAAUGCCGUUGAAACUGUCGGACUUGAGUGUAAAUGAGGUAGGCGGAAUGCGUGGUGUAGCGGUGAAAUGCUUAGAUAUCACGCAGAACACCGAUUGCGAAGGCAGCUUACUAAGCUAUAACUGACACUGAGGCACGAAAGCGUGGGGAUCAAACA
rnacentral:rRNA from 1 species